UACGUAGGGUGCGAGCGUUGUCCGGAAUUAUUGGGCGUAAAGAGCUCGUAGGCGGUCUGUCGCGUCGGUCGUGAAAACUUGGGGCUUAACCCUGAGCUUGCGGUCGAUACGGGCAUGACUGGAGUUCGGUAGGGGAGACUGGAAUUCCUGGUGUAGCGGUGGAAUGCGCAGAUAUCAGGAGGAACACCGAUGGCGAAGGCAGGUCUCUGGGCCUGUACUGACGCUGAGGAACGAAAGCGUGGGGAGCGAACAGG
rnacentral:rRNA from 1 species